GUCUACAGCCAUGACACCCUGAACAUGCCCGAUCUCUUCUGAUCUCAGAAGCUAAGUAGGGUCAGGCCUGGUUAGUACUUGAAUGGGAGACCACUUAGGAAUACCAGGUGCUGUAGGCG
rnacentral:rRNA from 1 species